CAGCUAGUUGGCGGGGUAACGGCCCACCAAGGCGACGAUCCGUAGCUGGUCUGAGAGGACGACCAGCCACACUGGAACUGAGACACGGUCCAGACUCCUACGGGAGGCAGCAGUGGGGAAUUUUGGACAAUGGGCGCAAGCCUGAUCCAGCCAUGCCGCGUGAGUGAAGAAGGCCUUCGGGUUGUAAAGCUCUUUCGGCGGGGACGAAAAAGUUCGUGACAACACCACGGACUCAUGACGGUACCCGCAGAAGAAGCACCGGCUAACUACGUGCCAGCAGCCGCGGUAAUACGUAAGGUGCAGGCGUUAAUCGGAAUUACUGGGCGUAAAGCGUGCGCAGGCGGUCUGCUAAGAGAGGUGUGAAAUC
rnacentral:rRNA from 1 species